CCCUUGACCCGUUCUGGCCCUGACCCCUGCCGGGUGGAGCAGGGUGAACUUCCUUCCUGUGGAGACCCACGAAGGUUUUACGAAACAACAGUUCUUUCCUGGGAUGCCAGUGUUGCCAGGAUAUGAGUGGAUAUAGUAAACAGAGCUGUUCAUACAGUUUGUAGCCUCGUAAGCAGGAAAUGGAGAUGAACAUGGAUACAGCAGCACUCAAUCACCAGCAUUACUCUUACCUCACCAGAUUUCAGGAGGAGACACUGGUUGACUGAUGUGCCACUCACUUAAUCUUUAAGCAAACAUAAGGCUCACCUACAGGGUUCCACUGCAGAUUUUGGCCUGCUGGUUGUUGGGGUGGUUGUCAUGGGUGGAGUCAAACAUCUGGAGAACAGAGCAUCGGAAAACCUGAGAACACUCUUGAAAUAGCAACAGGAAACAAGGAGAAAUGAAGUGAGCUCCGUGCCAGAGGCUCUUUAGAGAUCCAAGAGUCCCAUCAGCAGUAGCGCAGAAGGGUCCAUAAACCCAUUGGUCCCCACUCAAGUUUCCAUCUGCUAAAUUCUAGUCUAGUUAAAUAAGAGGUGGAAUCUUUUUCAAGCAGGUACAUUUAUCGCUUGAAAUUUCCUCUUGUGAAAUGGUCGUAGCAGAAC